UACGUAGGCAGCGAGCGUUGUUCGGAGUUACUGGGCGUAAAGCGUGCGUAGGCGGUGUCUUAAGUUUGUUGUGAAAUCUCCCGGCUUAACCGGGAGGGUGCGGCGAAUACUGAGAUGCUGGAGUGCGGGAGAGGUAAGCGGAAUUCCUGGUGUAGCGGUGAAAUGCGUAGAUAUCUGGAGGAAUACCGGUGGCGAAGGCGGCAUCCUGGACCGGCAUUGACGCUGAGGAGCGAAAGCGUGGGGAGCGAACAGG
rnacentral:rRNA from 1 species